rnacentral:rRNA from 1 species
UACGUAGGGUGCGAGCGUUGUCCGGAAUUAUUGGGCGUAAAGAGCUCGUAGGCGGUCUGUCGCGUCGGUCGUGAAAACUUGGGGCUCAACCCCAAGCUUGCAGUCGAUACGGGCAGGCUAGAGUUCGGUAGGGGAGACUGGAAUUCCUGGUGUAGCGGUGAAAUGCGCAGAUAUCAGGAGGAACACCGGUGGCGAAGGCGGCAUCCUGGACCGGCAUUGACGCUGAGGCGCGAAAGCCAGGGGAGCAAACGGG